rnacentral:sRNA from 1 species
GAGCAAAACAUCCAACGCCACACGCGUUCCGACACAUGACACUGGGUGCCUCUUAAAGGGAGGUUGUGUGAUGGGGGUCGCGGAGGUUCAAC